CCUACGGGUGGCAGCAGUGAGGAAUAUUGGUCAAUGGGCGCGAGCCUGAACCAGCCAAGUAGCGUGAAGGAUGACUGCCCUACGGGUUGUAAACUUCUUUUAUAAAGGAAUAAAGUGAGGCACGUGUGCCUUUUUGUCUGUACUUUAUGAAUAAGGAACGGCUAACUCCGUGCAAGCAGCCGCGGUAAUACGGAGGAUCAGAGCGUUAUCCGGAUUUAUUGGGUUUAAAGGGAGCGUAGAUGGGUUGUAAAGUCAGUUGGGAAAGUUUGCGGCUCAACCGUAAAAUUGCAAUUGAUAAUGGCAGUCUUGAUAACAGUGGAGGUAGGCGGAAUUCGUGGUGUAGCGGUGAAAUGCUUAGAUAUCAC
rnacentral:rRNA from 1 species